ACUAUGCUUAGCCCUAAACAUCGAUAGCGCACUACACCUGCUAUCCGCCUGGGAACUACGAGCAUCAGCUUGAAACCCAAAGGACUUGGCGGUGCUUUAGAUCCAUC
rnacentral:rRNA from 1 species